AUUGAACGCUGGCGGCAGGCCUAACACAUGCAAGUCGAACGAGUGGCGGACGGGUGGGUAAUGUCUGGGACACUGCCUGAUGGAGGGGGAUCACUACUGGAAACGGUCGCUGCUUCCGCCUACCAUCGGAUGUGCCCAGAUGGGAUUAGCUAGUAGGUGGGGUAAAGGCGCACCUAGGCGACGAUCCCUAGCUGGUGUGAGAGGAUGACCAGCCACACUGGAACGGAGACACGGUCAAGACUCCUACGGGAGGCAGCAGUGGGGAAUAUUGGACAAUGGGCGCAAGCCUGAUGCAGCCAUGCCGCGUGUAUGAAGAAGGCCUUCGGGUUGUAAAGUACUUUCAGCGGGGAGGCGUUACCCGCAGAAGAAGCACCGGCUAACUCCGUGCCAGCAGCCGCGGUAAUUC
rnacentral:rRNA from 1 species